rnacentral:misc_RNA from 1 species
ACAAACUUGGUCAUUUAGAGGAAGUAAAAGUCGUAACAAGGUUUCCGUAGGUGAACCUGCGGAAGGAUCAUUAUUGAAUGUUUGAGGUAGUUGAGCUGGUCUUAACAGACAAGUGCUUGCUGCUUCUAUUCAUCUUAUCCACCUGUGCACUUUCUGUAGAGCUUUGAAGAAAGUCUUAGUUGAUUCUAGGACAAGUAAUCAGGCUUUAUGUAUCUUAUACACUCUAUGAAUGUCUUUGAAUGUCUUUUAUUGGGGCUUGAUUGACCCUUUAAACUUUAUACAACUUUCAGCAACGGAUCUCUUGGCUCUCGCAUCGAUGAAGAACGCAGC